rnacentral:lncRNA from 1 species
CAGAAACAUAAAACUCAUUUCCUGCAUUCCAUCUUCAUGAUUAUAAAAAUAAGAAUCAUCAAUGCAGACAACUUUGAAGAGUGAAGCAUCAACAUUUAACAGCUUCGUGAACUUAUGUAAUUCAACUUGUUUUCUUUCGCUUGUCUAAACCACCCAUUUUCACCAGCUGAAAUUGAACCCAAUCUGCAUAUUCAUCAGUUCCAAAGAGUAACAGUGUCAUUUUUUACCAAUAAACUACUGAAAAUCCUCCCGAAGAAUCCUACCUAACAAUUAUGUCAUUAAUACUCUUUAAGUAAUGUCCAACAGUUAAUAAUUUGAGAUGACAGAUAAUAUAAUUAAGAACCCACUUCUUUCCAUUUUCUGAUUUACAUUUUCCUAACUUUAUAACUGGUUGUUG